GGAUGAUUAGCUCAGCUGGCAGAGCACCUGACUCUUAAUCAGGGUGUCCAGGGUUCGAGCCCCUGAUCAUCCACCA
rnacentral:tRNA from 2 species